rnacentral:rRNA from 1 species
GGCGAACGCUGGCGGCGUGCUUAACACAUGCAAGUCGAACGGAAAGGCCCUGCUUGCAGGGUACUCGAGUGGCGAACGGGUGAGUAACACGUGGGUGAUCUGCCCUGCACUUCGGGAUAAGCUUGGGAAACUGGGUCUAAUACCGGAUAGGAGCCAUCUUUAGUGUGGUGGUUGGAAAGUUUUUUCGGUGUAGGAUGAGCUCGCGGCCUAUCAGCUUGUUGGUGGGGUAAUGGCCUACCAAGGCGGCGACGGGUAGCCGGCCUGAGAGGGUGUACGGCCACAUUGGGACUGAGAUACGGCCCAGACUCCUACGGGAGGCAGCAGUGGGGAAUAUUGCACAAUGGGCGCAAGCCUGAUGCAGCGACGCCGCGUGGGGGAUGAAGGCCUUCGGGUUGUAAACUCCUUUCGCUAGGGACGAAGCUUUUUGUGACGGUACCUAGAUAAGAAGCACCGGCUAACUACGUG